CCUACGGGGGGGCAGCAGUGAGGAAUAUUGGUCAAUGGGCGCAAGCCUGAACCAGCCAAGUCGCGUGAGGGAUGACGGUCUUUUGGAUUGUAAACCUCUUUUGUCGGGGAACAAGGCGAGCCACGUGUGGCGGGAAGGAGAGUACCCGAAGAAAAAGCAUCGGCUAACUCCGUGCCAGCAGCCGCGGUAAUACGGAGGAUGCGAGCGUUAUCCGGAUUGAUUGGGUUUAAAGGGUGCGUAGGCGGAAGGUAAAGUCAGGGGUCAAAUGUGGGUGCUCAACACCGGCCAGCCGUUGAAACUGGUCUUCUUGAGUGAGCGAGAAGUAUGCGGAAUGCGUGGUGUAGCGGUGAAAUGCGUAGAUAUCACGCAGAACUCCGAUUGCGAAGGCAACAUUCCGGCGCUCAACUGACGCUGAGGCACGAAAGCGUGGGGAUCGAACAGGAUUAGAUACCCGAGUAGUC
rnacentral:rRNA from 1 species